rnacentral:rRNA from 1 species
CACGUAGGCGGAUUGUUAAGUCGGGGUGAAAUCCUGAGGCUCAACCUCAGAACUGCCUUCGAUACUGGCGAUCUUGAGUUCGGAAGAGGUUGGUGGAACAGCUAGUGUAGAGGUGAAAUUCGUAGAUAUUAGCUAGAACACCAGUGGCGAAGGCGGCCAACUGGUCCGAUACUGACGCUGAGGUGCGAAAGCGUGGGAGCAAACA